rnacentral:tRNA from 1 species
GCCUCUGUAGCUCAGUAGGUAGAGCAGCGGAUUGAAAAUCCGCGUGUCGUUGGUUCAACUCCGACCGGAGGCACCA